AGUGAACGCUGGCGGCAGGCCUAACACAUGCAAGUCGAGCGGCAGCGCGUCCGACCACCCUCGGGUGGUCGGAUGGCGGCGAGCGGCGGACGGGUGAGGAAUGCAUCGGAAUCUGCCUCGUUGUGGGGGAUAACGUAGGGAAACUUACGCUAAAUACCGCAUACGACCUACGGGUGAAAGUGGGGGACCUUCGGGCCUCACGCGAUGAGAUGAGCCGAUGCCGGAUUAGCUAGUUGGCGGGGUAAAGGCCCACCAAGGCGACGAUCCGUAGCUGGUCUGAGAGGAUGAUCAGCCANACUGGAACUGAGACACGGUCCAGACUCCUACGGGAGGCAGCAGUGGGGAAUAUUGCGCAAUGGGCGAAAGCCUGACGCAGCCAUACCGCGUGUGUGAAGAA
rnacentral:rRNA from 1 species